GUAUCAGUGGUUUAGUGGUAAAAUGUAAGUUACCAAUCACUUUAUAGUUACUUAAAGUGGAAAGUUAAUUUGAUAGCCAUCGUUGCCAUCGAUGGGCCCCGCCUUCGAUUCGCGGCUGAUGCA